rnacentral:rRNA from 1 species
CCUACGGGAGGCUGCAGUGGGGAAUAUUGCACAAUGGGGGGAACCCUGAUGCAGCGACGCCGCGUGAGUGAAGAAGUAUUUCGGUAUGUAAAGCUCUAUCAGCAGGGAAGAAAAUGACGGUACCUGACUAAGAAGCCCCGGCUAACUACGUGCCAGCAGCCGCGGUAAUACGUAGGGGGCAAGCGUUAUCCGGAUUUACUGGGUGUAAAGGGAGCGUAGGCGGUUAUGCAAGUCUGAAGUGAAAGCCUAAGGCUCAACCAUGGGACUGCUUUGGAAACUGUAAAACUGGAGUGCAGGAGAGGUAAGCGGAAUGCCUGGUGUAGCGGUGAAAUGCGUAGAUAUUAGGAGGAACACCAGUGGCGAAGGCGGCUUACUGGACUGUAACUGACGUUGAGGCUCGAAGGCGUGGGGAGCGAACAGGAUUAGAUACCCCAGUAGUC